GUCCCCAUCUCGCUAGAGGCUCAGGCGGCCGGAUUUUCGCUCCGGAGGCGCGGGUUCGAAUCCCGCUGGGGACA
rfam:Sorangium cellulosum 'So ce 56' complete genome